rnacentral:rRNA from 1 species
AGUUCGGAUUGUAGUCUGNAACCCGGCCUACAUGAAGCUGGAAUCGCUAGUAAUCGCGGAUCAGAAUGCCGCGGUGAAUACGUUCCCGGGUCUUGUACACACCGCCCGUCACACCAUGGGAGUCGGAAAUGCCCGAAGUCUGUGACCCAACCUCAGGGAGGGAGCAGCCGAAGGUAGGAUUGGCGACUGGGGUGAAGUCGUAACAAGGUAAC